UCUUUCUCCCCACUCCCCCUUCCUGUGGGUUCCCUGGGUCACGUGUAGCUUGGAAAGGACAAACCCCAUAGUCUCUUCUGCCCGGUUAACAGUGUUCUGAAGGCUGGGAGAGAAGAGGGAAGAAUGGCCGUUCCUACACAGGCUUUCAUGUUCAAAAGCGAGUCACCAGUUGCUUCUGUUCUGCCAGCCGCACAGUGCUACUGCGUGGCAGAGAGACUGCGUAGCUGCCUGAUCAAGCUUUGAAUUACCAGGAGGAGGAGGCAGCAAAGGAGGUAAGCAGUGGUGAGAAAGAGGAGGUGGCCUGCGUCACUCAAAGGCCCAUGUUCUCCCUGCUGCUGGCCAACCGGACUGCGUGGUAUCGCUAAAGCUCCAAGUUUGCAGCAUGCAACUGGAAGGAGAGCAAAGUGUUCAUAUCGAACAAGCUCUGGAAUGGCUAAGGAAAGAGCUGCUGGAAAUGCAACUCCAGGACCAGCAGCUACUGGAGAAGCUGUUGCAGCUACACACGGCCCUGCGGGAGCUGAAAGUGGAGAGUGCUGACUGGGAGAGCUCUGAUCCCAGCAGAAACGGGUUUGGAUCCAGAGCCCGCUCCAGAUCAGAAGACAUGGGCACCCUCCUUCCUCCAAGGAGAUCCCUCAGACUUGAGCCACGCCGGAGAAAUUCUCUCCCUUGAACAGACCCAUGGAAUCCCUGGGAGAAUCAUCUACUAUUUUAAACACCAUGAUCCGUUUGCCAGCAAAAUCCAAGAGGACUCUGUAUUGUUGUGGCCAGCUUUAAAAAAGAAUGAAAUUCUGUGACUGGGAAGCAGAUCACAUUGUGCAAAUGCAUCAUUAGCAGAAUAGAUGCACACAUGCACAGUUUAUUGUGCACACGCGAUUCAAGUUUCCAACUGUUUGGGACCUCACCUUUUCGCACAAGGGAAGAUGGUAGAAUUUGGAAGCAGUGGCCAUGCAGAGGUAUAGUAGUAUCAUCACAACAGCAAAAUCACUAGCCACGAGCUACAGCUUACAACAGUGUUGUCUGAGCCUGAAGAGAUGAGAGUGAACAUUCAGUUACAGACGGUCAUCAUUAUCUUCUCGUUUAGUUUAGCUAAAAGAGAAUUCCAGUGACGCGGGAAUCUCACCUUGAACUGAUUCAUGCAAGCCAUUUCUAAGGACUCUAGUGGGCAAAGACUACCAUACAAUUAGCUCUGCAUCUGUUAAAAGGCUCCAAAUCACAACUGAUCACAUCACACAUGUCAGGCUUCUCCAAGUCACUGUCCUCCAUGUAUGCUGGACGGCAAGUCCCAAUUUUCCCAGAGAUUUUCCUUGGGGGGAGUUUUUACUGGAAAAAAAGUCUAAGUCUGUUUAGACGUGAAUGAUGCUUUUGGUAUGUCAAUCGCUUUAUUGUAGACUGUGAACUGGAAAGCAGUCCAUUUUUUCUCAGAGAUGUGUUUUCCAGACAUUUAUUUUUCAAGCAGCAUGUUCAACAGUGAAUUCUUAAAUGUGUGGCAAAACUGCAAAUCUGUAGAUGAAGCCCAGUGACCUGGGCUUCUUUAAAUGGAUAACAUCUACAGUACCAGUGUGCGCCCCCCCCCCGCCGCCCUUUACAUCUCUCUCUGAAGUAAAAUAUUAAGUGACAUAUUCUUACUGUCACUAUGUACCCCAAAGUGCCAAAAAUGCACAAGUGCCGUGGUUUGUUUGGCACCAAAGUCCACUAUUAUGAAGUACUGUAGUAUCAUUUUAGUUACCCAGUUACUCGUCGGACUUUGAAAAGGAAAAGAUAUGCAGUAAAUCAACUUUUCCCCUUACCUGCACCCUUGACAGAUAUAGGACAUCACCCCAGGCACCCUAGUUAUAUGUAGCCUGACACAUCUGCAGGGCACCAUGUGGGAAAGGGCUGCCACAGACCUAGGUGUGUUGGCUGAAUGUCAAAAAGGUUUCUGCAUAUCAAAAUGGAAACUGAGUGGGCCAAGGUGCCUAGGGAAUUAUUCUCUAACCUGGUGCCCUUCUGAUGUGUUGGACUUCCACUCCCAGAUGAAAUCUAGCACAUGUGGAGGGUGCCAUCUUGGGCAAAAUUAGAUUAGGAUACCCUCCAGAUAGGACACCAAAUGCAAGUUCCUGCACUUUUUUGUCCUGUUCAUAAAAUAUCUCGGCUUGCUGCCGCAGGCUGCUUCUCAUCUAUUCUCUGGCUUUCCGUCUGACAUGUCACUGUUUUCUAAGACUGUAUCACCUCACUUGAGCAUCGUGUCUGUUUCUAACAUGACUUCAGGGACGCUUCUUCUUUAGCUCUUUUCUCUCCUUUCUUACUCUUUUGUGGUGCCCUGCCUCUUCUUGUCUUUGAAUGUAGCUGCUAUUCAUAGUUCUGGGUUCUUUUGUUUCUCCUACUGCUGAAAUAUUUGUGAUUUUAAAAAUACUUAAACAUUAAAAACUUA